rnacentral:rRNA from 1 species
UCGCUCAACGGAUAAAAGCUACCCCGGGGAUAACAGGCUUAUCUCCCCCAAGAGUUCACAUCGACGGGGAGGUUUGGCACCUCGAUGUCGGCUCAUCGCAUCCUGGGGCUGUAGUCGGUCCCAAGGGUUGGGCUGUUCGCCCAUUAAAGCGGUACGCGAGCUGGGUUCAGAACGUCGUGAGACAGUUCGGUCCCUAUCCGUCGUGGGCGUAGGAAAUUUGAGAGGAGCUGUCCUUAGUACGAGAGGACCGGGAUGGACAUACCUCUGGUGUACCAGUUGUCGUGCCAACGGCAUAGCUGGGUAGCUAUGUGUGGACGGGAUAAGUGCUGAAAGCAUCUAAGCAUGAAGCCCCCCUCAAGAUGAGAUUUCCCAACUUCGGUUAUAAGAUCCCUCAAAGAUGAUGAGGUUAAUAGGUUCGAGGUGGAAGCAUGGUGACAUGUGGAGCUGACGAAUACUAA